GCUAUCUCCUUACCCAAAAGUUCGUCACCGAACAAAUUCAUACAAUUUGAUUGAUGAAUUUCAAACCUCCUAAAGCCGCCGCACCGCCACAGAAAUUUUUUCUUAGCAAAUAAUGCUCGCCGCCGGAGAGACGACGGUGGAUGUUCGGAAUUUGGAGUUACGUCAACGCUCAAACUUGAUCGCCACCAAGUCGCGAUGAAGUUUCUUGGCUCACUCGAAGGUACUAUGAACAUUGUUCUUUAUAAAUCCUUUCUCUUUUAGUAUUUAAUUUCCUUGAAAACUUUAUAUUCUCUCUUUCUUUCUCUAUCUAUAUAUAGAUUGUUGAAUAGAAAUUGCAAGAUCUAUAAGGUAGGUAUGUCUUGCUUUAACAUUUGAAUCCAGAUUUAAAAAUUUAACAGUCCUUUUGGCGCUAAACGGUUUGAUUCAGUAAUUUCCAUAGUUUAUUUGAUGUUUUUGAUCCAGAUUUACAGUAAAGUGAUGGCUACUAAAAAUUAAAAUAAUGAUGCGAUGAAUAUGCUCUUUGUUUUUAAGACACUAAUUAAUCAACAAGGUACCAAUUUUGGGCGUAUCGAGGGUGCUAACCCUUCCUCGCGCGUAACCGGCUCCCGAACUUGUUUUUCUGAACUUCGUAGACUAAAAGCAUUGUUUUAAUAAAUCUAAACCGUUUAUUAAAAAUAAUCGUUUUUCGAGGUGACCCGAUCACACCUCAUCAAAAAAAAUUGGUGGCGACUUUCGUUUUCGUUUUCAUUUUCAAAAUCCAAGUCGACCCCGUUUUUAUUAAAAAAAAUUGUGUCAACAUAUAGAUUUGUUAUAUUUUGGUCACUAAUUGUUUAAUUUUUAUUAAUAAACUAAUGAUAAGUUGACGUGAUAAAUUAUAAAUUAUUUUAGUUGAAAAUUUUAAAUUAAAUUGCAUAAUUAAUUUCUAUAUUUUUUAAGCAAUUUAAUUUUAAUUUUUUUUAAACAUGUUUUAGGCUAAAAAAAGGUCUCUUCCAAAUGAAAAAGAUGAUACCUUCUCUCUCUUCAUUGUCUCUAGAGACCACAAUGGAGGUUAGGCUUUUAUAAAACAUACAGA
rnacentral:lncRNA from 1 species